AUGCUGUUAGUAUAAGUUAUCUAUUACGUUUCUCUUCCAAGGAAAGGAUCUAUUUUUGUAGACGGUGUA
rnacentral:tRNA from 1 species